CAUGUUCACAGCACGUUUGUUUGAGUUAAUGAUCUCCACGGUCCCUUCCAACCUAAGCCAUUCUAUGAUUCUAUUAUACUACAUGAAGAACAGUGAGCUAUGGAGAUAGACUGUUUACAGUGAACCACAAUCCAAACUGUACCUCAAAGCUUCCAUAGCAGACAAAGGAGAGUAUCCUUUUGUUUGGUUUGUUUCCAGGUUGUGUGGGCUGUUCAUUGAGAGAGCACCGAAGUGGAUCAGACCCUGCAGGGCAGAGCUGAGGCUGUUUCUGGAAAGUCUGUGGAGACCAUAAGCUUGAGGGUAGCAGCAAAGGACCGGAGUCUGCAGUUCACAGGGAGAAAGUACUGGAAGAAGAGGGACAGAGAAAACCUACACCUGAAAGGAACAAGCACUCCAUACAACCACGUAGGAAGCAUUUGGAUGAAACCCCAGACAACAUAACUGAAAAUGUCAGGUGAAUGCAUCAGCAUUUCGCAGCUAUCUUCUACUAUGAAGGUAUCUUCAUGUUUAAACAGACACUUUUGUCAUUUAAAACUCUGGUAACUUUCAGAGCCCAAACUCUGCUUUGGAUGGACAACCUUAUGAAAAUUCAGGAAAAAUCUUACUGAAGAGAACCACAGAUUUGCAUGCAAAAAUCAAGUGACUUGAUACAGUCAGAACUAUGUAAACAUCUAUCACACCAUACUUUUCAGUGUAAUAUGCUGUUUUGACCAAAGCCAUAGUAGAAGCUUUCCUCUACCUUAUCUUCCAGCCGUGAAGACAGAGACACAAUCAGCCAACUGUAUGUCCAUGUGCUGCUUUCAAUUUUUUUGUGAGCAUUAUUACACUGUUGAUCAUGAUGAUCAUGAACUGACAGCUGAGAGAAACUUACAUGAUAAAAUAUCUUAGCAAAGCAGUUUUCAUUCAAGCUCAUCUUGAAGACUUAGACUGAGAAGGGAGGCGUUCAAGAGCCAUUUAGAAGUUGUGCUGAGGGACAUGGUUUAGUGGGGAAGUAUUGGUGGUAGGUGGAUGGUUGGACUGGAUGGUCUUGGAGGUCUUUUCCAACCCUGGUGAUUCUGUGAUUCUGUAACUCCCUGAAAUAAGGCUGUGGUGAGGUGGGGAUCAGCCUCUUCUCUCAGGUAACAGUGACAGGACAAGUUAGAUAACCUGAACCUCCCCUGGAGCAAUUUGAGCUGGGUGUUAGGAAAAAUGAAAAGUUUAUUAUUGGAAAGAGUGGUCAGGCAUUGGAACAGGCUGCCCGGGGAGGAGGUGGACUCACUGUCCCUGGAGGUGUUCAGGAAAUGUGAAGAUGUGGCACUUAAGGAUGUGGUUUAUGGCCAGUAUUGGUGGUAGGUGAAUGGUUGGACUAGGUAAUCUUAAAGGUCUUUUCCAACCUUAAUGAUUCUAUGAUUCUAUGAUUCUAUUCUGUGAAGCCUAUUAGUAAUACUAUUUAUUUUAUGUAUUUGUUAAAUUGAAGUCCUAUGUCAAUGCACAAAAUGAUACCCAUACUUCUUCAUUACAGACCUGGUCUGGACAGUUUACAGGAGAGUAUAUUCUCAAGAGUGUUAUCCAGAAUGGAAAAAAAUACAUAUACUGUGUGUGCACUGUCUGGCAAGUCUUCCUCUCUUCCUUAUAACAGCUCUAAGGGCCCCUUUCAAAUCCUGCAGGUAGGGAAAUGUAAAUUAUUGCUGUUUAAACAGAAGAAGUGUAAUUCCUUAGAUUUCUAAGUUACAUACAACACUAUAAGAUUUAGAGUGAGGUCCAGAUACAGAAGCCAAUCUGUGAUUUCAUACAGAGAGCUUUUAGUACUGACACUUAUUAAAAUAGACCCCAGGAGUGGAGAUAAGGUUGUAUGCACAUCUUCUCCUUGAAACAGAACAAAUAUUACAACAAUUUAUGUAGAAAAUGAAAUUGUCAGUCAAUCAUUCAUGCAAUUGUUUUAUGUUCUGUAAUGUCUUUCUCUUAGAUUAAUGCCAAAAGAACACUAAUGAGAUGUAUCUAAAGCAAACUACGAAGAAGAACAUAAGAUAGAGGGAAUAGAGAAAGGCACAUCAAAAAGUAGGUUUGUGGCUUCAGAUCUCUGGCUUUCUUGGGUGUCUUUCAGCCGUAAGCUCAAAAUAAAAUUAAUUGCUGGCAUGCAUGUGUUUACUGGGAAAAAAAUGAGCAGAAGAUUUAUGUAUAUGGGGCCAGCCAGUUCACACAUAGUUGAAUUCACAUGUUUCUGAGUAUUCUUUUUCCAAGAGGAGUGAAUCAUUUUGAUAAAUCUUUCACAAAUCUAGCACAAAUUGUUGCCAGUUUAGUUGCUUUUGUAUGCAAAGCUGAGUGAAAAAAAUGGGUCUCUUGAUCUGUAAGAAAUCAGCUAUAUGUUGAUUAUACAGGACAUGGAAAUUCCCCUCAAUCCAGUAAAACUGAUGUCCACAAGAAACCCCUGGAAUUCUCUACACCAGGGUAGGGCCCAAUAGAAAAUGGCUGAAAAUAGGUGGAUGAUCUCAGAGGUCUUUAUCAACCUUAGUGAAUCUAUGAUUCUAUGAUUCUAAAAUAGAAACAGAGUUGAGAAAAUAUAAGAAAGGAAGCCAUUACCCUAAACAGUGACAUGAGUUCACUGCCUAUGAGAUCUAACACAUUUGUGUCACACUGGCUUUAAGUACAGAUCUUCAGCCACUUGGCUCAUGAAUAAUUUCAUCGGAAUGGAAUCCAGGACUUAUACAGAAAAUAAACUUUUCUGAGGAGUAAUGGGUUUGUUUGUGGUACUGCUUUUGGUAUACACAGGGACAAUGAAGAAAUCUCCUGAAUGAUAGUCAUAAAUGGUUUCAAAAGCCUAACAGGGCAGACAGAUUGCUAAUCAGAUUGCAAAGUGUACUGAACAAAAGGAGGGAGAAAUUGUAAAGGCAAACCAGAAGAAAGCUUGAGUGGACUGAAAAGCCUGGAAGGAAGAGAGCAAUGGUUUGAAUUGCAUUUGAAAUGAAAGGGGAAGUGAUUGAUAUAGAAAGAUGUGAAGGGAAGCUGGCCAUGAUGACAUCAAUUAAGCAUUUAUUUCUGUGGAAGUAUUGUCAAAUGGCAUAAUUUAAUGGUGUGCCCUUCUGCUGAGGAGAUAAUUUGAUGCUUGUGUUAGAUGAUAUUUGUUUGUCUGUAUUUUACUAGGAAUGGUUAAUCAUAGCUGAUUUACAAUUAGUUUUAUGAGCCCUUCGCAAGGGGUUGGGUGUUGUAUUUGCAUGUGCUUGUACCUUUCCUGACUAUUCAGGGUUGAGUAAUGCAUAUGCAGUGCAGGAUGGGAUCUAUAUGGAAUGCGAAGGACAUGCAGCAGUAGGAAGUAUGCAGUGUGAGAAGGAACUCAACAGAAGUAACUCCUGUGAAGGAGCACAUGCUAGAACUAGAGUUAUUCUAAUAAUAGAACAAAAACAUAAGAAUAAAUCUAGAAUACAAGCUAUGCCCCUAUGGAUUCAGCCCUUCUUACAUCCCAGCUUCAGUAUCUUUGACAUUAACAUAACGGACAAAAGCGAGCAACCAAAUUUCAUACCUCUGUGCUGCUCUUUGGAAGGAAGCAAUUGUGCUUCUGCACGGAUCUCUGUUGAACAACAGAGGAUUUGCUGGUAAACACUGUUGUAAAUAUAUAAUUGAAUUGCUUUCGGUGACUGCUUCAAAAGCAAUAUAUGCCUUCAGCUCUGAGAAUAAAAUGCUGUUGCAAAAUAGUCUAAUAAAAUGUGUGGCUUCACUGUGAUUCUUGUCGCUUUUGUGUGUUCUACUGGGAUUAUUUUUAAAGAGUGAAACUUCAUUACAUUUAUUAGCUCUUCAGCAAAGUAACAACAGUAAUUACAAAGUCCUUCUUAAGUUAGCAUGUUAUUCUGUUUAUAUGUGGUAAACCUGCUGAGAAUAUCUUUGCUUCCUCAGAUUUUCUUUCUGCUUUGGCAAUGUAAUAGAGAGCCAGGGUAAAAUAUCCACAGCUGUGCACGGUUAAAUAUUUCAUGCUGAGUUAUGGAGAACUUCCCAGUGUGCGCAUUUUCUGAGAAUGUAAUGCUUUUG
ensembl:lncRNA